rnacentral:rRNA from 1 species
ACUCCUACGGGAGGCAGCAGUGGGGAAUAUUGGACAAUGGGGGCAACCCUGAUCCAGCCAUGCCGCGUGAGUGAUGAAGGCCUUAGGGUUGUAAAGCUCUUUCAGCGAGGAGGAUAAUGACGUUACUCGCAGAAGAAGCCCCGGCUAACUUCGUGCCAGCAGCCGCGGUAAUACGAAGGGGCUAGCGUUGUUCGGAUUUAUUGGGUUUAAAGGGUCCGUAGGCGGAUUAAUAAGUCAGUGGUGAAAUCCCAUCGCUUAACGAUGGAACUGCCAUUGAUACUGUUAGUCUUGAAUGAGGGUGCAGUGGUUGGAAUGUGUAGUGUAGCGGUGAAAUGCAUAGAUAUUACACAGAACACCGAUUGCGAAGGCAGAUCACUAACCCUAAAUUGACGCUGAGGGACGAAAGCGUGGGGAGCGAACAGGAUUAGAU